CGUACAAAGGAAGUUGACGGGGCCGCACAAGCGGUGGAGCAUGUGGUUAAUUCGAAGCAACGCGAAGAACCUUACCAGGUCUUGACAUCCCUGACAACCGAGAGAUCGGGCGUCCCCUUCGGGGGACAGGGUGACAGGUGGUGCAUGGUUGUCGUCAGCUCGUGUCGUGAGAUGUUGGGUUAAGUCCCGCAACGAGCGCAACCCUCGACCUUAGUUGCCAGCAUUCAGUUGGGCACUCUAAGGUGACUGCCGGCUAAAAGUACGGAGGAAGGUGGGAUGACGUCAAAUCAUCAUGCCCCUUAUGACCUGGGCUACACGCGUGCUACAAUGGCCGGUACAGACGGACGCAAAGCCGCGAGGUGGAGCAAAUCCUAAAAAGCCGGUCUCAGUUCGGAUUGCAGGCUGCAAUUCGCCUGCAUGAAGUCGGAAUCGCUAGUAAUCGCAGGUCAGCAUACUGCGGUGAAUACGUUCCCGGGCCUU
rnacentral:rRNA from 1 species